rnacentral:lncRNA from 1 species
CCCUGGAGACCCCAGCAAUCUUGGCUUGUUGGCCUGAAGGGCUGUGAAUGUUAUACCAUGGUGCCACCUGGUGGAAUAUUUGUGCAGGAGCAUGACUUCCAUCCCACCAUCAAAUCAUCCUCUUUCUGCCCUAGAAAUCCUGCCAGCCCAAAUUGUCUUUUCCCUACUGAUGGCAGACCUGGAAGGCUUCUCCAGAUCCACGAAAGCCUGGCAAGCAUUUUGUUUACACAGGGUUCCCCUGGUAACCUUUGCCUGCUCUCAUGAAGACAGUGAGACACCCCUAGAGGCCAGUUGAGGGCUUUCCACAGAGAAACAGGCCAGAGCAGACCCGGUUCCCACCUCUCCUGCCCAUGGUGCCCUUCAGGACUCUGGCCCCUUUGCUUGUAGGCAGUGAUGUUGGCUCAGGAGAUUCUGCUCAUCAGCCACGUUACCUAAGACUCCUCUGCUUUGGAGGAGAGAGGCAGCGAGAGGGGUGUGGUGGGAAAAAGAGGGAUGUGAAUAUGGGAAAAAGAGAUGAGUUAACAGAGGGAGGCGCAUUGGGAGAGGGGGACAAGUGAGGCAAG